AUGAACGCUGGCGGCGUGCCUAAUUCAUGCAAGUCGAGCGAACAGACGAGGAGCUUGCUCCUCUGACGUUAGCGGCGGACGGGUGAGUAACACGUGGAUAACCUACCUAUAAGACUGGGAUAACUUCGGGAAACCGGAGCUAAUACCGGAUAAUAUAUUGAACCGCAUGGUUCAAUAGUGAAAGACGGUUUUGCUGUCACUUAUAGAUGGAUCCGCGCCGCAUUAGCUAGUUGGUAAGGUAACGGCUUACCAAGGCAACGAUGCGUAGCCGACCUGAGAGGGUGAUCGGCCACACUGGAACUGAGACACGGUCCAGACUCCUACGGGAGGCAGCAGUAGGGAAUCUUCCGCAAUGGGCGAAAGCCUGACGGAGCAACGCCGCGUGAGUGAUGAAGGUCUUCGGAUCGUAAAACUCUGUUAUUAGGGAAGAACAAAUGUAUAAGUAACUAUGCACGUCUUGACGGUACCUAAUCAGAAAGCCACGGCUAACUACGUG
rnacentral:rRNA from 1 species